ACCGGCUAUGGGAGCCUCUAGAGUUUGAUCCUGGCUCAGUAGGUCGUAUCAAGGUAACCGGUUUUGGAUCCCCAAAAGUUUGAUCCUGGUUCAGAAUGGAAAACAAGGUAACCAGUAUUGGAUCCUCUUACCUUUGAUCCUGGCUCGACCAAUGAGGGGGACCUUUGGGCCUCUUGCCCCCCUAUGUGUUGAGCUGGGAUUAGCUAGUAGGUGGGGUAAUGGCUCACCUAGGCCUCCAUCCCUAUCUGGUCUGAGAGGAUGACCAGCCACACUGGAACUGACACACGGUCCAGACUCCUACGGGAGGCAGCAGUGGGGAAUAUUGCACAAUGGGCGCAUGCCUGAUGCAGCCAUGCCGCGUGUAUGAAAAAGGCCUUCGGGUUGUAAAGUACUUUCAGCGGGGAGGAAGGCGGUGAGGUUAAUAACCUCAUCGAUUGACGUUACCCGCAAAAAAAGCACCGGCUAACUCCGUGCCAACAACCGCGGUAAUACGGAGGGUGCAAGCGUUAAUCGGAAUUACUGGGCGUAAAGCGCACGCCGGCGGUCUGUCAAGUCGGAUGUGAAAUCCCCAGGCUCAACCUGGGAACUGCAUUCGAAACUGGAGGCUAGAGUCUUGUAAAGGGGGGUAAAAUUCCGAGUGUAGCGGUGAAAUGCGUAAAGAUCUGGAAGAAUACCGGUGGCGAAGGCGCCCCCCUGGAAAAAAACUGACUCUCAGGUGCGAAAGGCGUGGAGAGCAAACAGGAUUAAAUCCCCUGGUAGUCACCCCCUAAACGAUGUCGACUUGAAAGUUGUGCCCUGAGGCGUGGCUUCCAAGCUAACUAAUAAUCCAACCGCCGGGAAACUGGCAGGCUAGAGUCUUGUAGAGGGGGGUAGAAUUCCAGGUGUAGCGGUGAAAUGCGUAGAGAUCUGGAGGAAUACCGGUGGCGAAGGCGGCCCCCUGGACAAAGACUGACGCUCAGGUGCGAAAGCGUGGGGAGCAAACAGGAUUAGAUACCCUGGUAGUCCACGCCGUAAACGAUGUCGACUUGGAGGUUGUGCCCUUGAGGCGUGGCUUCCGGAGCUAACGCGUUAAGUCGACCGCCUGGGGAGUACGGCCGCAAGGUUAAAACUCAAAUGAAUUGACGGGGGCCCGCACAAGCGGUGGAGCAUGUGGUUUAAUUCGAUGCAACGCGAAGAACCUUACCUACUCUUGACAUCCAGAGAACUUAGCAGAGAUGCUUUGGUGCCUUCGGGAACUCUGAGACAGGUGCUGCAUGGCUGUCGUCAGCUCGUGUUGUGAAAUGUUGGGUUAAGUCCCGCAACGAGCGCAACCCUUAUCCUUUGUUGCCAGCGGUCCGGCCGGGAACUCAAAGGAGACUGCCAGUGAUAAACUGGAGGAAGGUGGGGAUGACGUCAAGUCAUCAUGGCCCUUACGAGUAGGGCUACACACGUGCUACAAUGGCGCAUACAAAGAGAAGCGACCUCGCGAGAGCAAGCGGACCUCAUAAAAUGCGUCGUAGUCCGGAUUGGAGUUUGCAACUCGACUCCUUGUAACAAGGUAACCAAAAUGGGAUCCUCUAGGGUUUGACCCGGAAUNAUUAAGUCGUCACAAGGUAACCACCCGGGACCCCCUAGGGUUUGAUCCUGGCUCAGGAAGUCGUAACAAGGUAACCAGUAUGGACCCAGAGUU
rnacentral:rRNA from 1 species